rnacentral:misc_RNA from 1 species
AAGUCGUAACAAGGUUUCCGUAGGUGAACCUGCGGAAGGAUCAUUAGUGAAUAAACUAGUGUGGGUUGUUGCUGACCUCUUCGGAGGUAUGUGCACGCCUGCCGUUGUUUUCAUUCAUCCCUUCCACCUGUGCACUCUCUGUAGAACACAUCAUUACCUUCAGAUGUAUAUUCUGGCAUGAGGACUUGCUCUCGCUGUCCUUGGAUGAUGUGGUCUAUGUUUUUAUCAACUCAAUGCAUGUAAUUGAAUGUCUGCUCGGGUCUAUUGACCCAUAAAACAACUAUACAACUUUCAACAACGGAUCUCUUGGCUCUCGCAUCGAUGAAGAACGCAGCGAAAUGCGAUAAGUAAUGUGAAUUGCAGAAUUCAGUGAAUCAUCGAAUCUUUGAACGCACCUUGCGCUCCUUGGCAUUCCGAGGAGCAUGCCUGUUUGAGUGUCAUUAAAAUCCUCAACCCUCCUAUCUUACCUUGCGGAAAGUAGUGGGAUUGGAUGUGGAAGCUGCUGGCUCUGGGUCAGCUCUUCUGAAAUGCAUUAGCAGGGCCGCUGUAUGCACGACUGCAGCUUGGUAAUGAUAGAUGUCUUACCGGGUGGCAGGCGAGUGAUGUGCCCAGCUCACAGACGUCUCGCUGUUGGGACAAUCAACUUGACGAUCUGACCUCAAAUCAGGUAGGACUACCCGCUGAACUUAAGCAUAUCAAUAAGCGGAGGAAAAGAAACUAACAAGGAUUCCCCUAGUAACUGCGAGUGAAGCGGGAAGAGCUCAAAUUUAAAAUCUGGCAGUCUCUGGCUGUCCGAGUUGUAAACUAGAGAA